rnacentral:rRNA from 1 species
UGGGGAAUAUUGGGCAAUGGGCGCAAGCCUGACCCAGCAACGCCGCGUGAGGGAAGAAGGUCUUCGGAUUGUAAACCUCUGUCCUUGGGGACGAAAGAAAUGACGGUACCCAAGGAGGAAGCUCCGGCUAACUACGUGCCAGCAGCCGCGGUAAUACGUAGGGAGCGAGCGUUGUCCGGAAUUACUGGGCGUAAAGGGUGCGUAGGCGGUAGGCCAAGUCAGAUGUGAAAUCCCCGGGCUUAACUCGGGGGGUGCAUUUGAAACUGGUUUACUUGAGUGCAGGAGAGGAAAGCGGAAUUCCUAGUGUAGCGGUGAAAUGCGUAGAUAUUAGGAAGAACACCAGUGGCGAAGGCGGCUUUCUGGACUGUAACUGACGCUGAUGCACGAAAGCGUGGGGAGCAAACAG